rnacentral:rRNA from 1 species
AACGAACGCUGGCGGCGUGCCUAACACAUGCAAGUCGUGCGAGAAAGUCCUUCGGGAGCGAGUAAAGCGGCGCACGGGUGAGUAACACGUAGGUAACCUGCCCCCCAGUCUGGAACAACUAGAGGAAACUCUAGCUAAUGCCGGAUGAGACCACGAUCCCUUCGGGGGUUGCGGCCAAAGAUGGCCUCUACUUGUAAGCUAUCGCUGAGGGAUGGGCCUGCGGGCCAUUAGCUUGUUGGUGAGGUAACGGCUCACCAAGGCUGUGAUGGCUAGCUGGUCUGAGAGGAUGACCAGCCACACUGGGACUGAGACACGGCCCAGACUCCUACGGGAGGCAGCAGUGGGGAAUAUUGCGCAAUGGGCGAAAGCCUGACGCAGCGACGCCGCGUGGGUGAUGAAGGCCUUCGGGUCGUAAAGCCCUGUCGCAGGGGAAGAAUAAGCAUCGGUAUAAUACGCCGGUGCCCUGACGGUACCCUGCAAGAAAGCACCGGCUAACUCCGUG